GCUCCCAUAGCUCAAUGGUAGAGCGAAAUACUGUUAAUAUUUUGACAUAUGUUCGAUUCAUAUUGGGAGCU
rnacentral:tRNA from 1 species